rnacentral:rRNA from 1 species
UUCGCAAUGCCCGAAAGGGUGACGAAGCGACGCCGCGUGUGGGAAGAAGGCCUUCGGGUUGUAAACCACUGUCGGGAGUUAAGAAAUGUAAGGGUGUUAAUAGCGCCUUUACUUGACAAAGGCUCCGGAGGAAGCCACGGCUAACUCUGUGCCAGCAGCCGCGGUAAUACAGAGGCGGCAAGCGUUGUUCGGAAUUAUUGGGCGUAAAGAGCACGUAGGCGGCUUUGCAAGUCAGUUGUGAAAGCCUUCCGCUUAACGGAAGAACAGCAGCUGAUACUACAGAGCUUGAGUACGGGAGGGGAGAGUGGAACAUCUGGUGGAGCGGUGAAAUGCGUAGAUAUCAGAAGGAACGCCGGCGGCGAAAGCGAUUCUCUGGUCCGAAACUGACGCUGAGUGUGCGAAAGCUAGGGGAUCAAACGGGAUUAGAUACCCCGGUAGUCCUAGCCGUAAACGAUGGGCACUAAGUAGAGGGGUUUU